UAAGGGGACUUAUAAUUCCAUUUCUUAGUUUUCUUUUUGAGAAAAGAAGCUGUACCAUUUUUAGCAAAGUACUUAGAUCUUUCAACUCUUCCUUAGAUCAUAGUAGUUGUUGAAUAAGAUGUAUUUGCUUUGAAGAAACUUUCCUUGGAACGCUGCAGCUGCUGGUUCUACUUUAUGUCAAGUUGGUAUUUUUCUUUAUUGCAUUCUGUAGUAGUCUCCUUCUUUCUUAAGAGUCCAUGACUUCUUAUUUUCUUUCUUUCUUUCUUUUUUUUUUUUUUUUUUUUUGAGACAGAGUCUCCCUCUGUCACCAAGACUGGAGGGCAGUGGCACAAUCUCGUCUCCCUGCAACCUCUGCCUCCUUGGUUCAAGGGAUUCUCCUGCCUCAGUCUCCCAAAUAGCUGGGAUUAUGAGCAUGUGCCACCAUGCCUGGCUAAAUUUUGUAUUUUUUUUUUUUUUUUAGUAGAAACAGGGUUUUGCCAUGUUGGCCUGACUGGUCUCGAACUCCUGACCUCAGGUGAUCUUCCUGCCUCAGCUUCCCAAAGUACUAGGAUUAUAGGUGUGAGCCACCAUGCCUGGUUGACUUCUUAUUUCUAGAUUCCAUUUUUAUUUACAGAAGUACUACAUCCUUUAAUAAUUUUUUUCAUAGUGUGUUAGGUAAACUUUAUGACCUUGCAUAUAUAUAUUACAGCCUUGUUUGUAUAUAAUGAGAAUAUUUAUUUUCACUCUCUCUGUAGCUUUUCUAAGUAUAAAAUUCAAGUUUCUGUAUCAUUUUCCUUCAGAACAUCGAAGGCAUUGCACCAUUGCCUUCCAGCAUCCAGUGUUGUUGCUGAGAAGACUGCUGCCAAUUGGAUCUGAAAUUUUCUUUGGGAUGAAUUGUGAGGCAGGACUUGAUGGACAUUUUGGGGGACCGCCCUUCAGCAAGUUCUUCACAGGUAGUGUGGCUUCUCUCUUUACAAGGUGGGGAGCUUUAUACCUUUGCUCUCAGCUGUAGUCAGAAAACAACAGAACUGGAGGCAAUAUGAUUAGUUAUCUUUUAACAUCUGUGUGCACAGAGAAAGAGUACUGUAUGGUCUCUCCACAGCCUGGACUCUCCCUUUGGACCUGGAUCUCCCAAGGUUAGAGACUAACUUUUUCAUCUUUAUUUCUGUCUGCCAAUGAUGCUGAUGGCAAACUGAAUUUCAGGAAGUGUACCAGGAGGGAGGGUACAAGAAGACCAGGCAAUUAUGGAGUGGCUGAGGAAAGAAGGGACCAGAGGAGGAGAGAGAAGACUUGGGUGCAAUGCUGAGCUGAAUGGAGAAGAACCUGGUGAGUUCUUCCUUGAGGCCCAGGUUGUGAUACUGUAAUUCUCUAAUUACCUCAGAGCUAAAACUAUUUUAUUUGUCUAGAAAUGACAUGGCCAAUGCAAUAGACUUAACUUUGUAAAGUGUCAAGCCGUUGGGCAAAAGGAGAAAUAAAAAAGACAAAGCCCGCUGGUUAAAGACAGAGAGGGUCCUGUUUGUUGAUGGGCUGUGAAGUCCACUCUGAGUGCAGUUGGUUCCCCAUCUCCAGCUGCCUUAUGUGUUUAUUCCUUAACUCUGAAAACGUGAAAUUGUGUUCUCCCGUCAGGAGAAACCUUCCUGACAGUUGCAAGUGCUCCACAGGAGUGUUUGCAGCGGGGCUGUGCAGGCGUGGCGAUUAGGCCCUGCGUUGCUGGCUGACAGACUGUCACUCCCGGGGGUCAUCCCAGCUCCAGCAACUCUGCAGGGAGAAACUGAGCUGGACAGAAUGGGAAACGCUCUCUCUCCAGACCCUGUAUUAAAGAACGGGUCCUGCCAUUUGUGGAAGCUGCCACCUUCUCUGUGAGGCUGAAAUAACUGAGAAAAUCAGCUCAUGUUUUGGUAGAGAAAAUGGCGUAUGUUUUCUGUUCUAUUUUGGCACUCAUAAUUCUAGAAUGUGGCUGGAUGAGUUGGUUUCCAGAUGGCUGAGGACGUUUGUAUUAAGGACCGAAAAUAAAAUAAUAGAAACUAGCAUUUUUGUUGCACCCACUAUUACAAGCUCUGUCACAGAGUGCUUUCAGCACACUGUCUCAUUCAAGCUUGCCUCCUUCAGAGCAGGUUUUACUGUCUCCAUUUCACAUGCAUGUAAAUGGAAAACUGGCAUUUGAACGCAGAUCUGUCUAGCUUCAGAAUGCAACUUUUUCCUCCAUUAAAACCCGUGUUUAUUAAAGUAAAGAGUACUUGGCAAGCAGUAGGUAAAAAUCCCAUUUUACUACUGAUUCGAUGAUUUUAGGUGAAUUAACCUCCUUGAGCUUCAGAUUUCUCACCUGUAAAAUAGAAAUAAUAAUAGUACUAAGUUUGUAAUCUGUUGUGUGUGUUAAAUGACUCUAUCUAUCUAUCUGUUAUCUAUCUAUCUAUCUAUCUAUCUAUCUAUCUAUCUAUCUACCUACCUACCUACCUACCUACCUACCUAUCUAUCUAUCAUCUAUCUAUCUGCGUACAACCUGCCCAUGUCAUAACUAUGACUGGUACAUAAUACACAUUCAACAUGUUUUUGUAGAAUAAAUGAAUGAAAAACAAUAAUAGUCUUAUAGGACACCCAUUUCCAUGUAGCAAGGUUUCUCAACUUUGGCAUUUUGGACUGGGUAAUUUUUUGUUGUUAGCAUCUGGCUUAUGCAUUAUAGGAUAUUUAACAGCAUCCCUGACCGCUACCCACUAGAUGCCAGUAGCAGAACCCUCCUCCCCACAAUCAUGGCAACCGAAAAUGUUCCAGUCAUUGCCAUAUGUCUCCAGUCAUUGCCCCACCCUCUGCUAAGAACCACAGCCUCAGAGAGAAUCAAUUCUGUCUUGGACACCAUAGAGCAGCAAUCCGUAAACAGCAAAUUUUUUACAUAGUCAAUAGCAAAUAGACUUUGUGGGCUACUUGGUCCCCGUUGAAACAACACAACUCUGCCACUGUAAAGCAUGAAAGAAGUCAUAGACAAUAUAUAAACAAGUGAGCACUACCACAUUCUGUUAAAACUUCAUUUACAAAAACAGGGUGGCCCCUAGGCUGUAGUUUGCUGACUCCCGCUACAGAGAAAAUGCAGAGUGAGCAGGUGUGGAGUCCCCUCUUUAAAUAUGCCACACAGUCACUGUGUCCUACGGGCCUGGGGCUGGCCCUGCAUAUAGGUAGAGGGGACUUUGUGAACAUAUAGACUGUGAGAAGGGCCCCUAAGAUGCCCUCUGCCUCACAGGCUAGUUGUUGUGCCUCCAAUAUCACCAGGGAAGAAUGACCUUCGGGGAUGUGAAGCAUGGCUUUGACCAGUCCUCU
ensembl:lncRNA